rnacentral:rRNA from 1 species
AGCUGAGGGGUACCACCUGUUCCCAUUCCGAACACAGCAGUUAAGCCCUCAUACGCCGACAAUACUUGGCUGGAGACGGCCCGGGAAGAUAGGUAGCCGCCG